rnacentral:rRNA from 1 species
GUGCCAGCCGCCGCAGUAAUACCGGCAGCCCGAGUGAUGGCCGAUCUUAUUGGGCCUAAAGCGUCCGUAGCCAGCCGAACAAGUCCGUUGGGAAAUCCACCCGCCUAACGGGUGGGCGUCCAGCGGAAACUGCCUGGCUUGGGGCCGGAGGACUCGAGGGGUACGUCCGGGGUAGGAGUGAAAUCCCGUAAUCCUGGACGGACCACCGAUGGCGAAAGCGCUUCGAGAAAACGGAUCCGACAGUGAGGGACGAAAGCCAGGGUCUCCAACCGGAUUAGAAACCCGGGUAGUCC